GUGUAGUUUUGGGCUUUUUUCUUCUUCAAAAGAAGGGAGCGCAGUUCACACAGCCGCAAGGGCCUUCUGCGAGUCUUUUAAGGGUAGGUCUUUGUCCCCAAAUUAUCAGGGCAUAGCGGUUUGCUUUGCGAAGAAUCAAGGUGAUGUCGAAGAACAAGAGAAGCCUACUCAAUGGGUACUCGAGGCUACGCGAGGCGACAGGUGAAGAGUUGGCCUCCGUGUUUCAGACUCUCGACUGUGGCAAGCAAAAAGGAUCCAAUCUUCCAAUCGACUUCCAUGGAAACCUUUGUGAGUGAAUGCGGGUUGGGUUUGAUGAAUGGAAGAGAACUAAAGGGUAGCAAUAAAAAGACUCUAGAUUUCGUAGGGAGUAGGGGUUGCGAGGGUUUCUUGCCUUGUGGUUUGCCAGGUCAGGUGUGUUCUUCUACCUCCGGAAACUCCGUUGAGGAUUGUUCCUUAGGUGGGGCUUUUGAUUCAAAUUUUCUCUCUCCCUCUUCCUUUUUUGCUUCUCACACUGUUCGGCGUUAGCCUUCAUUGUCUAAUCUUGUUGAGUCCAACCUUUUCACAUAGACUGUAAAUCAUAAGUAUCGGGUGUUGAAUCUAUCCCUAAUGUUGGCAUCCCCUCUGUUGCUGGUACGGAAGUCAUUGUAGUGGUUAAUAAUCAAGAGCUAAACGACCAUUCUUUUCUUGGGUCUUCACUCUGCCACUCUAGUUAGCAUUUUCUCUCAGGGAAUGGCUGUUCCAAGGAUCUAGAGUUCUCGCCAUUGGAAGGUUUUCUGGUAGAGGGUCUUUCACCUAGUAAAAUGGUUAAGGUACAUUCGAUUUUGGAGUCCAUGGAAAUCAGACUUAUCAAAGGCAAUGAAAAGGGGCCUUUUGAGGACAAAAGCAGUGGUGGUUCAUUCUAGAAGGAAGAAUAAGCCUUUUCGUAGACCCAAUGGGUUGUUUUAGGUUAGAUGUGGUAACUGGAAGGGCUCUCAUUGGUUUAUAUGAAGAUCAUAAGUGGGAAUAUUAGAGGGUUGGGAUCUAAGAUGAAAAGAAGGACAAUAAAAGGCUUUUUCAAAUCUAUAAAUCCAGAAGUCAUCAUGCUCUAGGAAACAAAGAGGGAGACUUGCGAUAGGAGGUUUGUGGCUAGCGUAUGGAGUGGAAGAACCAAGGAGUGGGCUGCCUUUCUAGCUUGUGGGACCUCAAGAGGUGCUGUGAUUAUUUGGGAUUCAUGUAAAUACAAUGUUCAGAGGUUGUUUUACGAUCCUUUUGAGUGACUGUUAAGUUGUGCUCUGAGGAAGAGGGUUCUUUUUGGUUAACUUCAGUCUAUGGUCCAAAGAAUUCUAAUUUGAGGAAGGAUCUUUGGGUGGAGCUUCAAGAGCUCUUUGGUCUAACAUAUCCAAAGUGGUGUGUAGGUGGGGACUUCGAUGUCAUAAGAAGAAUUUCAGAGAAAAUGGGUGGUUCUAGGUGAACCCCAAGCAUGAGGUGUUUUGAUGAGUUCAUAAGAGAAAAUGAGCUAAUAGACCCCCCUCUUAGAAACACAACUUUUACUUGUCAAAUAUGCAAGCCUCUCCUAUUUGUAAAAGGUUGGAUAGAUUCUUGUUUUCAAAUGAAUGGGAUUUUUUCUUCCCUCAAAGCCGUCAAGAAGCACUUCCUAGUUGGACUUCGGAUCAUAGCCCAAUUAGUUUAGACACAAACCCUUUUAAGUGGGGCUAGAGUUCUUUUAGGUUUGAGAAUGUGGCUACUCCUUCCUGAUGUUAAGGAAAGAUUUAGAUUCUAGUGGUAGGAGUGUCAAGAUGAUAGUUGGAAAGGUGAUAGAUUUAUGAAGAAACUAAAGUUUGCUAAAACUAAGUUGAAAGAAUAAUAUUCUUUUAGACAUUGCAAGGAUUGAUGUAAUUGAGAAAAUAGUGGAUAAGAAGCAGUAUUUCUGGAGCUGCACUAAUUUGUUAGAAAAGGAUCUGUACAACUGCAAUGAGAAUGAUAAAAUUGAUGGCUACUAAACAACAUGGCUAAUACUUCCCUUCUGAUAUAUUACUUUUUUUUCCUAAUCUAAAAUUUAUGAGAAUGCAAUUGUAUUUUGUACAAGAAAUGGAACUUUAUUUUUAACCUUAAAAUAUAUAAAAUAAAUAUUUUGAUUUUAUAUAUGAAAAGAUAAAUUUCAUUUUACAUAUAUUUUCAAAUAAGCACAUGGAAAUAUACUCUUCCCAUAAAAAAGAGUAAUUGUAAUUUUCCUCACUAGGUAUUAAAAAAUAAAAAGUAAUAUUAGGCAUAUUGGGGACCUUGAAAUGACUUAAGAAAACCUAACUUGGAAAUUUUGAAGUAGCUUACCUUCUCAACUCUGCUUCCUUCUUUGACACCCUUUAUUUUCCAAAUUCUUGAAUCCCUUAGAUCAAGUUUUCCCAAUUACUCAGAAGGAGAAUUCAGAAUCUCAGAAACCAAACACGACCCCUCUGUUGAUGUGUAUUUGUGUCCAAUGUGUGUGCCUUUGAUUUUCUUGGAUCUUCAUUGUUUUCUUCUUUAUUUCCUUGAAUCGUCUUCAUCACAGAAUGUAGCUAUGAAGUAGCUUCAGAGUGUAAAGUUUUUGUGUUUGUUUCAAUGUUCAUCAAAAUUUUCGAACAUAUUUUCAUAUGAAUGUUAGGGUUUUGUAGUUCAAUUUUGGAUACAAAUGUACAACUUUUGAGUUAGCAAUGGAAAAGGUAUGUGGCGAAUCUUAGGGUUUUGUUUUAUUAUGUUUCCCUGCUGGUUAUGUUUAUGUUUUGUUAUUUUGAUUGUACUUUAUUUUCCACUAAAAUUUGAUGUUCAUUUAGAGAUUAAAGCUUGUAAAUGUAGAACCACAUUUUUGGAAGAGGGCGAUGAAGAUGCUAUGCAGGCAGAUUGUGUGCCCAAUGACUGCCUGGCUUGUUGCUGCAGAUGGAUUUUGUGGUUGUAAAUGAUGUUUGCCUUACUCAUCUGUGUGUACUGUCUUCCUAUUCCUGUCCUUUUAUCUCUUUAUUUCAGCCUAGUUCUAAAACUCAAAAAAUUGAUUGAAUUUUGCAGUUGGUUUGAUACUGUUAACUUGUUCGCUUUCAUGGUCCUGUAUAUUAUUGACUCAUAACUCCAUUAUGUCAGAAUGUGUUCUUAAUGAACACUUGUUGGGUUAAGAGUAGUAGUGUUGGCACUGCCAUAUAAUUUUGGGGUUUUUCAGUAAAUUUCAACGUUUAGGUCACUAUUGACCAUAGGAGAACAAGAAAAGGAUGGGUUCAUAAGGUUGGCGAUUAGUGUAAAACUGACCCAAAUUGUUAUAGAUAUAUUGGGCUUGAUCUAUUAUCUCAAAAUUUGAUACUUAAAAGUAUUGCAAUUAAAUACGGAGAUAACUAAACAAGGAUAGGGAAGAAAGAAGAUGAUGAACUACAGCAGGUACUUAUGACAGCUGCCAUAUCAAGAUGUUCUCCUGGUGCUGCAACUUGUUGUUGUGCUGAGCUUCUAGGAUAUGCCUGCAUGACUAUACAAUGAAUCUGUUGGCUGAUUCUGAAAAUGCAAAAAUUUAUUUCCCUUCUAUGAUUUGUUUUUUCAAAUUUGUAGUUUUUUGUUAUCUUUUAAUAAGAAUGUGUUUAUUAAAUUAAUUUGACUUGUCUUAUUUAGGACUGAUUGUGAUGCUUAUGCAAGUUGUUAAUCAAUUUAAGUGAAUUUUUCUUAUGCAGAAAUAUAGUAAUGACCAUUGAAAAAACACGUGUUUUCUCUGAGUUGGGUGGGUUAAAUGAAGCCUUUUGAAUCAAUUCAUGAAGGCCAAAUCCAUUUUGUCUUUAAGGAGUUUUAUUAAUGGCUGGUUGACAAGUUAAUAUCUUACACGAACUGUGUGUCCUGUUGUGAAUUCCUUGUAUUUGGAUUGGUGACAACCUGUGUUAUGUUGACAUCUUAGGUUGUAGUUUAUUAGAGUACCUUUGGAGGGAUGGGAAGUAUUGUGUCUAUGGGAAGCCCUCAUCAUUGCAUUUGGGUUAUGAUGCUAAAGGUCAUUUCUAGAAGAAAGCUAGCCUAGUGGGUUGUGGACAAAAUUAUUCAUGCUGAAUGGCUUCUCAUAUUGGGAUUUACACCUUAUAUAUUCAAGACUGCUGACUGGAGUUGAGAUACUACCCACCCUUGGUCUAUUGAUGAUGAGACUUCAUUGUCUUCUCCUCUUGGUGAAACUCUCAGAAAGUUUUAAUGAGGUUGUGUGCUUUAUCUAUCUCUAUUCUCUUGAAUGGUUAAAUUUCAAUAUUUUCUCUUUUAGGUGGGACUUUUAGAGGGCUUUAUCGAGAAUUUAAGGUUUUCUCUAUCUCUUUCUUCUCCAUCUUCUUCUCGUGUUUGGCUUUUUGCCCUUCUGCUCUAGAUAACCCAACCUCAAUUACUGAAUCAACUUCUCUUAAUCACUGAGCGUAGACAUUUGGAACUUACUGAGUUAUCAACUUUAAUUCUCGAGUCUAUUAUAACUAGACCAUCAUUUUAUCUCUCUCUCUCUCUCUCCCUAUAUAUAUGUAUGUAUGUAUGUAUGUAUAUAUGUUUCAUAUAUAGAGUUUUCUCCUUGUCUCCUUACACUGCAAGUCCCUGUUUCUUGAAAAUUUAGAAAAUUGUUGAUGAUCAGCUACAAGCCUGUUAUACAUAUGAAUUCCAAUCAAUGAUCAAGUCUAUCAUAGAUUCAUAUAUGCAGUUUGAUAGUUCUAUCUCAAUGUAUUAGGCAUGUGGCUUGAUGUUCCUACAGAUGGUAAUUUCAGCAGACAUGUGGAAUUUAAAUUCUUGAUCUUGCUGUUAAUGCUGUUUUCUUCUGGCAUGACAUCCCUUUUGCUUGUUUAAUGGUUUUCAAUACAUCAUGUUUCUUGUGAUUAAAAUGUUCUCCUAGCUUUGAAUGGUCUUUUUUCUUUAUUGUUUGUUAAUUUCCACAGGUCACUAGCCAAAGUGGGCUAUUAUUUUUCAAUAAUUGUUAUUGUUCUGUUAAGAUUCAUAGUAGAAUGACUCCCUCAUCCGGAUGUAAAUUGUUUGGUAGGAAUUUCCUUUUUUUAUUUUUCUUCCUACACUAAAACUGUUUUGUUGUGAGCUUCCACCAAUUUUUGGGUAACAGUGAAUUUAGCAUUUGAAUACAUUGGUAAAACAUUGUGGAUGCUGCAUAGGAAUGAUUUAGCAAUUGUUUAGUACCCAUACCCUGGCUGGGUCACAGUGUUUGAUCCUUCUAGAAAAUCUUCUUGGAAAAUUAACCCAUUAUUGUAAAUUUAAACUAUUACAAUAAUAAUGACCAUGUGAUUUGUUCCUUAGAUUUCAGUUCUUACUCAGAUAAAAAAAGAGGAAAAAAAAUGGAUGGGUUGAAUGGCUGGAACCAUCAUCUCCUUGAAGCAGAUACUUCCCCCUCAAUGUUGUAUAAUGUCCCCACACAAGAAUGGAUCCAGAGAAAUGAGAAAAAUCCACAAAAAGGAAGCACAGAGGAAUGACACGAAAGUCCAUGAUUACCAAGAAUAGGAACAAAGUGAUCAAGUUGCAGGAAUAUCAAGAAGUUCAAAAAGAAAGAAGAAAGAAACACAUUUAUAAUCACCAUCUAAGUAGGAAAUGAUAUGUUGGUCUUGAGGAAGAGAUGAUGGUUGCAAGUGGGUCAACUGAAACUAUUGAUCGAAGCAUAUUAUGGAAGAAAGCAAGAGAAAAAAAGGAUGACACCUUUGAUGAAGUGGCCAUACCAGUGAUUGAGAAAAUAGUAAGAAAAUGUGAGUUAGCCAUGGAGACCAAGGAAAAUAUAGUGGUUGGUGGCACAAUUAUACUUGAAUGUGGUCCCAACUAUCUAGUAGUUGUUGAUGCUCCUUAUGAUUCAAGUGCACCCCUUCCCAUUCCUAUUCCUAAACAAACAACUACUGUUGGGGCUGCAAUUGGUUACCAAGUUUUGUGGUCAACUCAUUUAGUCAUCAUUUGUACUCCUAUCUUGACAUCUAAGAAAGGAAAGAAACAAAAAGAAAAUGAAGUUGAAGUCAGGUCUAAGGGUGAGAAAACACAAGAUAUCAAGAAUUUUGAGGUGUUGGUUGGCCUCAUGCUGAGUACCUUAAGAGUACAACCUAUUGACUUCCUAGAUGAUGUUUUUGGUGAGAGUUUCAAGACCUUCCUAAUGAAAGAAGAUAUGGACAUGAUUAUAUCAUCAAAACAAGUGUCAUCCAAGUGUAUCUUAUACUACAUUUGGUGAGGGAUUUUAUAAUUUUUUUAAUUACUCUUCACACUUUUUUGAGGUAAAAGGUUAUUUGCUAAUGACCUAUAAUGAUUGUUGACAACUUAUUAUGCGGGAUUUAAUUAGGCACCUGCAUAGAAAGUUGAUUGAUGGAAAGUAGGUUGAAUGAUAUGUUUUUGUCAAUCCAGCAUUGCUUUCAAAAGCUGGAAUGGGAGAGGGAAGUAAAGAAAAUAGGUCAAGGGUCAUUACGGAUUGACUAAGGAAUGCAAACAUGCUGAAUAUAUAUGCUUAUUCUAUACAAUCCAAAGUAACCUUUUAUCCCAAAUCUCAAU